AUGAGUGACAACCCCAUUAUACCCCCAAGUCAAGAGAAUUUUAUUGAUGCUGAUAAUGUUGUUGGAGUUGGAGAGGAAGAGGUUCAUGACAUCCCUGAUGAUAUUGGUAAUGCGGUUGGAGGUGAGGAGGAUGAGGUUUCUCCUUGCAUUGCUAAUGCAAAGAAAAAACCUCGUGUUCUUUUUGAAAAAAAUAAGAAGCCAAAGUCAAGCACAACACUUGUUAUCCAAGAUAAAAUCACAAAGAUAGCUGAAUCUGCCGCUUCUUUUACUUCAAUGAAGCAAGGAGAGGUGACAAUCAAGGAAGUCAUGGAUAUGGUCUUGGAAUGUGGGGCCGUGCACGGUUCCGAUGAGCAUGAUAUUGCCACACAGUUAUUUGUGAAGAAGGACCAGCGGGAAAUGUUCAAGACCCUUCCUAAAGAGUUUAGGUUCAAUUGGCUUAAGAGGCGAUACAACGACAAGUAUGGAAAUUGA
rnacentral:rRNA from 1 species